GACAGAGGCCCCGAGCGUUGCUCGGAAUCACUGGGCGUAAAGGGUGCGUAGGCGGGUCUUUAAGUCAGGGUGAAAUCCUGGAGCUCAACUCCAGAACUGCCUUUGAUACUGAAGAUCUUGAGUUCGGGAGAGGUGAGUGGAACUGCGAGUGUAGAGGUGAAAUUCGUAGAUAUUCGCAAGAACACCAGUGGCGAAGGCGGCUCACUGGCCCGGUACUGACGCUGAGGUGCGAAAGCGUGGGAGCA
rnacentral:rRNA from 1 species